CGGCAUUGCGGCACAGUUCAGUUGGAAGUGCCGCCGAGUAAAGACAGAGGAUCGACAAGUCUCUCACUAAGCCAAGCCGCCACCGCCUAGUGCGGGGCGUGGCGGCCCAACCAAGUCCAAGUGCUCGCUCAACUUAAUUAAAGUCAAUUAAUUGCUUUGAAAGUGAAUCGAUAAAAGUGUUUUUCAAAUUAUUCGGAAACUGCCCUCGAAAAUCUGCUACAGGAUCUUCACAAUAGUUCGAAUCCUUCAUCCAGAUUGUAUGAUAAACCAAGCAGCCAAAGAAGCUUAGACCGAUAAAUAAAUAUUGCUCAAACUCAACAAGUUGUCAGCCGCAAAGGAAAAUUCAAUAAUAAUUCCAAUCCAAUAGCUGUAAAGGUUUCGCUUUAUUCAAGAAACAAAAGACUCGACUCAGACAAUGUGGG